rnacentral:rRNA from 1 species
AUUGAACGCUGGCGGCAUGCCUAACACAUGCAAGUCGAACGGCAGCGCGGGUAGCUUGCUACCUGGCGGCGAGUGGCGGACGGGUGAGUAAUGCAUAGGAAUCUGCCCAGUAGCGGGGGAUAGCCCGGGGAAACCCGGAUUAAUACCGCAUACGCCCUACGGGGGAAAGCGGGGGAUCUUCGGACCUUGCACUAUUGGAUGAGCCUAUGUCUGAUUAGCUUGUUGGUGGGGUAACGGCCUACCAAGGCGACGAUCAGUAGCUGGUCUGAGAGGACGAUCAGCCACACCGGAACUGAGACACGGUCCGGACUCCUACGGGAGGCAGCAGUGGGGAAUAUUGGACAAUGGGGGAAACCCUGAUCCAGCAAUGCCGCGUGUGUGAAGAAGGCCUGCGGGUUGUAAAGCACUUUCAGUUGGGAAGAAACAGCAGCCGGCUAAUAUCCGGUUGUCUUGACGUAACCAACAGAAGAAGCACCGGCUAACUCCGUGCCAGCAGCCGAC